ensembl:snRNA U6 U6 spliceosomal RNA
GUGCUCGCUUUGGCAGCACAUAUACUAAAAUUGGAACAAUACAAAGAAAAUUAGCAUGGCCCUGGUGCAAGGAUGCCAUGCAAAUUCAUGAAGCCUUCCAUAUUUUU